rnacentral:rRNA from 1 species
UUAUUAUAUGCGAUACUUGGUGUGAAGAGCAGAAUUCAGAGAAUCAUCGUAUCUUUGAACGCACCUUGCGCUCCUUGGUAUUGCGAGGAGCAUGCCUGUUUGAGUGUCAUGAAAUUCUCAACCUUUGUUACUUUUUUUGUUUCAAAGAGUCUGGAUGUGGAGGUUGCUGGCUUUUGUUGAAGGAGUCCGGUCCCCUCUGAAAUACAUUAAGUGGGACCCAUCGUUGAUGUAAUGACUUCCCUGGUGUGAUAGUUAUCUACCCCGUGGCUCAUCUCUAUAUUGAUGUGGUUCAGCUUUCUAACGAGACAACAAGACACUGUCUUUGAUUAUUUUGACCUCAAAUCAGGUAGGACUACCCGCUCAACUUAAGCAUAUCAAUAAGCGGAGGAAAAGAA